UCUUUUGUCUCUUUAGGUAGGUUUACUCCUAGGUAUUUUAUUCUUUCGGAUGUGAUGGUAAAUGGGAUUGCUUCCCUAAUUUCUCUUUCUCAUCUUUCAUUGUUAGUAUAUAGAAAAGCCGUUGAUUUCUGUGUAUUAAUUUUGUAUCCUGUGACUUUGCCAAAUUCCUGGAUGAGCUCUAACAGUUUUCUGGUAGAGUCUCUAGGAUUCUCUAGGUAUAGUAUCAUGUCAUCUGCAAAUAGUGAUAGUUUUACUUCUUCCUUUCCAAUUGGGAUUCCUUUUAUCUCUUUUACUUCUCUGAUUGCUAUGGCUAAGACUUCCAACACUAUGUUGAAUAGUAGUUGAUUCAUUUUAAAAGAUGUCCUACAGGGAUUUCCCUGGUGGCUCAGUGGCUUAAGGAUCUGGCCUUGUCACUGCUGGGCUCCGCUAUAGUGUGGAUUCGAUCCCUGGCCUCGGAACUCCCACGUGCUGCGAGUGCAGCCAAAAAAAAAAAAAAAAAGUUGUCCUACGAUUUUUCUCAGCAUUUAUAGCUUUUCUUUUCAGUUACAGUUUUAUGCUUCAUUUGGCAGCAGCAGACUCUGAAGGUUAGAACUAAGUCUUAGUAAUGUUUAUUUCUGGCUUUUUUUUUAAUAACUUUUUUUUUUUUUUUUUGCUUUUUGGGCCCGCACCUGUGGCAUAUGGAGGUUCCCAGGCUAGGGGUCAAAUCGGAGCUGUAGCCACUGGCCCACACCACAGCCACAGCAAGGCAGGAUCCGAGCCGCCUCUUCAACCUACACCACAGCUCACAGCAAUGAAAGAUCCUUAACCCACUGAGCAAGGCCAGGGAUUGAACCUGCAUCCUCAUGGAUGCUAGUCAGAUUCAUUAACCACUGAGCCACGACAGGAACUCCUAUAACAUAUUUCAUAACACUCGUUAAUAUAAAGAAAGGGAGUUGAUAAAUGCCAAUUAAUGACAGAAUUUGCCCUUUUGGGACAGACUAAGGAUCUGGUGAACCCAGAAUUCCAUGUCUGUCUGUGGGAGUUUUGUCCUUGUUUAUAGUGAAAAGAGCACACCUUAUAGAGUGAAGUAGACUUUGGCCUUGAAUCUGGGCAUGUUGGUGGACCUGGGUCAGGUGACAGCCCCUCUGAGCUGUAUUUUGCUCAUUGGCACAACAGGAGUGAUGGUACUAAAACUCACCCAGGGGAUUAUUGUGGGUGUCGAUGAGGUGGCAUGUAUAUUGGAAACACUGUGCAGGCAGGUUGUCACAGCAGGAUUCCAGUCACCUCUUGGUGGCCUGUAUCAGAGGUGUGCUCCCCAUGUGCUGCUGCGCUUGGGCAACGACAAGCCUUCUAUUUCUCAUGCCCGCCACCUCCCUCAAGUGUUUAGGAUGGUGGAUCUUAUUAUUGGAAAGGCUGUGUUUUCUCUGGACACAGUUCCACCCACAGACCUUCCCCAGGAUCCAUGGUUUCCUCACAGCUCAGUGGGGUACAAGUCAGACCUCUGUAUGGUGAGCUGUCCAAUCACCUGCUCACAUCCAAGCAUGACUUUGUGCCUGAACAGUGAGUGCAGUUAGAAUUUUCAGGGUAUCGAGGUUCCCUGGUGACCUUGUGGUUAAGGAUUCAAUGUUGUCACU
ensembl:lncRNA